CGGGUGAGUAACGCGUGGGUAACCUGCCUUAUACAGGGGAGUAACAGUCAGAAAUGGCUGCUAAUACCGCAUAAGCGCACAGAGCUGCAUGGCUCAGUGUGAAAAACUCCGGUGGUAUAAGAUGGACCCGCGUUGGAUUAGCUAGUUGGUGGGGUAACGGCCCACCAAGGCGACGAUCCAUAGCCGGCCUGAGAGGGUGAACGGCCACAUUGGGACUGAGACACGGCCCAA
rnacentral:rRNA from 1 species